rnacentral:rRNA from 1 species
GGUUAAGCGACUAAGCGUACACGGUGGAUGCCCUGGCAGUCAGAGGCGAUGAAGGACGUGCUAAUCUGCGAUAAGCGUCGGUAAGGUGAUAUGAACCGUUAUAACCGGCGAUUUCCGAAUGGGGAAACCCAGUGUGAUUCGUCACACUAUCAUUAACUGAAUCCAUAGGUUAAUGAGGCGAACCGGGGGAACUGAAACAUCUAAGUACCCCGAGGAAAAGAAAUCAACCGAGAUUCCCCCAGUAGCGGCGAGCGAACGGGGAGCAGCCCAGAGCCUGAAUCAGUGUGUGUGUUAGUGGAAGCGUCUGGAAAGGCGCGCGAUACAGGGUGACAGCCCCGUACACAAAAAUGCACAUGCUGUGAGCUCGAUGAGUAGGGCGGGACACGUGGUAUCCUGUCUGAAUAUGGGGGGACCAUCCUCCAAGGCUAAAUACUCCUGACUGACCGAUAGUGAACCAGUACCGUGAGGGAAAGGCGAAAAGAACCCCGGCGAGGGGAGUGAAAAAGAACCUGAAACCGUGUACGUACAAGCAGUGGGAGCACAGAGCAAUCUGUGUGACUGCGUACCUUUUGUAUAAUGGGUCAGCGACUUAUAUUCUGUAGCAAGGUUAACCGAAUAGGGGAGCCGAAGGGAAACCGAGUCUUAACUGGGCGUUAAGUUGCAGGGUAUAGACCCGAAACCCGGUGAUCUAGCCAUGGGCAGGUUGAAGGUUGGGUAACACUAACUGGAGGACCGAACCGACUAAUGUUGAAAAAUUAGCGGAUGACUUGUGGCUGGGGGUGAAAGGCCAAUCAAACCGGGAGAUAGCUGGUUCUCCCCGAAAGCUAUUUAGGUAGCGCCUCGUGAAUUCAUCUCCGGGGGUAGAGCACUGUUUCGGCAAGGGGGUCAUCCCGACUUACCAACCCGAUGCAAACUACGAAUACCGGAGAAUGUUAUCACGGGAGACACACGGCGGGUGCUAACGUCCGUCGUGAAGAGGGAAACAACCCAGACCGCCAGCUAAGGUCCCAAAGUCAUGGUUAAGUGGGAAACGAUGUGGGAAGGCCCAGACAGCCAGGAUGUUGGCUUAGAAGCAGCCAUCAUUUAAAGAAAGCGUAAUAGCUCACUGGUCGAGUCGGCCUGCGCGGAAGAUGUAACGGGGCUAAACCAUGCACCGAAGCUGCGGCAGCGACGCUUAUGCGUUGUUGGGUAGGGGAGCGUUCUGUAAGCCUGUGAAGGUGUGCUGUGAGGCAUGCUGGAGGUAUCAGAAGUGCGAAUGCUGACAUAAGUAACGAUAAAGCGGGUGAAAAGCCCGCUCGCCGGAAGACCAAGGGUUCCUGUCCAACGUUAAUCGGGGCAGGGUGAGUCGACCCCUAAGGCGAGGCCGAAAGGCGUAGUCGAUGGGAAACAGGUUAAUAUUCCUGUACUUGGUGUUACUGCGAAGGGGGGACGGAGAAGGCUAUGUUGGCCGGGCGACGGUUGUCCCGGUUUAAGCGUGUAGGCUGGUUUUCCAGGCAAAUCCGGAAAAUCAAGGCUGAGGCGUGAUGACGAGGCACUACGGUGCUGAAGCAACAAAUGCCCUGCUUCCAGGAAAAGCCUCUAAGCAUCAGGUAACAUCAAAUCGUACCCCAAACCGACACAGGUGGUCAGGUAGAGAAUACCAAGGCGCUUGAGAGAACUCGGGUGAAGGAACUAGGCAAAAUGGUGCCGUAACUUCGGGAGAAGGCACGCUGAUAUGUAGGUGAAGUCCCUCGCGGAUGGAGCUGAAAUCAGUCGAAGAUACCAGCUGGCUGCAACUGUUUAUUAAAAACACAGCACUGUGCAAACACGAAAGUGGACGUAUACGGUGUGACGCCUGCCCGGUGCCGGAAGGUUAAUUGAUGGGGUUAGCGCAAGCGAAGCUCUUGAUCGAAGCCCCGGUAAACGGCGGCCGUAACUAUAACGGUCCUAAGGUAGCGAAAUUCCUUGUCGGGUAAGUUCCGACCUGCACGAAUGGCGUAAUGAUGGCCAGGCUGUCUCCACCCGAGACUCAGUGAAAUUGAACUCGCUGUGAAGAUGCAGUGUACCCGCGGCAAGACGGAAAGACCCCGUGAACCUUUACUAUAGCUUGACACUGAACAUUGAGCCUUGAUGUGUAGGAUAGGUGGGAGGCUUUGAAGUGUGGACGCCAGUCUGCAUGGAGCCGACCUUGAAAUACCACCCUUUAAUGUUUGAUGUUCUAACGUUGACCCGUGAUCCGGGUUGCGGACAGUGUCUGGUGGGUAGUUUGACUGGGGCGGUCUCCUCCUAAAGAGUAACGGAGGAGCACGAAGGUUGGCUAAUCCUGGUCGGACAUCAGGAGGUUAGUGCAAUGGCAUAAGCCAGCUUGACUGCGAGCGUGACGGCGCGAGCAGGUGCGAAAGCAGGUCAUAGUGAUCCGGUGGUUCUGAAUGGAAGGGCCAUCGCUCAACGGAUAAAAGGUACUCCGGGGAUAACAGGCUGAUACCGCCCAAGAGUUCAUAUCGACGGCGGUGUUUGGCACCUCGAUGUCGGCUCAUCACAUCCUGGGGCUGAAGUAGGUCCCAAGGGUAUGGCUGUUCGCCAUUUAAAGUGGUACGCGAGCUGGGUUUAGAACGUCGUGAGACAGUUCGGUCCCUAUCUGCCGUGGGCGCUGGAGAACUGAGGGGGGCUGCUCCUAGUACGAGAGGACCGGAGUGGACGCAUCACUGGUGUUCGGGUUGUCAUGCCAAUGGCACUGCCCGGUAGCUAAAUGCGGAAGAGAUAAGUGCUGAAAGCAUCUAAGCACGAAACUUGCCCCGAGAUGAGUUCUCCCUGACCCUUUAAGGGUCCUGAAGGAACGUUGAAGACGACGACGUUGAUAGGCCGGGUGUGUAAGCGCAGCGAUGCGUUGAGCUAACCGGUACUAAUGAACCGUGAGGCUUAACCUU